GAGCCUGUAGGGCGCGCCUGGCGGCGGAUCCCAAUGUCUGUGUUUAUCCUUGACAGAAAUAAUAGAACUGCUGUCUUCUUCCAAGUUAAACAAAACUUUGGAGCUAAAAGCUAGCUAGGUCAAGAGAAACAAAAUCUAAUCCUCACCCAAUUGAGAGACUGAAUAUACAAAGAAUGGCCAAACCUAACCAUGACCUCCUACCCAUAACCUCUUCAGUAAUCGGCCAGAAGGGUCAGGACUUAAUCUUUAACCGGCAGCUUCCCUAUUUCUUGCCCCUGCUUCCAGCUCUGGGCCAAUCAGAGAAAGCCAAAUGUGCUCCUCACACCAAUCGCGUAAGAAGCCCUGCUUCUAGUAUAGCCCUCCUCCAACUUCCCGAUGCCAACAUCCUCCAAUCAGAGCCAACCUGAAGUUUCUCCCUUUUUUCAGUAUAUGUAAAGCUUUUCCACUCCCCUGCCUGCCUAUGAGUCUGUUAAAUCAAGUGAUGGGUCGCGGCUGACUCUUGCCAGCUCUGAGUAAAUAGCCUAUUCUCAUUUGGUGGUCGUUAUUUCUACACAGCCGGUGGGAAGGUGGUGGAGAAUAGUGAAGACUAUUCUUAAGGUUAAAAAGAAGGUUCGGCUUACAUUUUUUUUUUAUUUUAAAUUUACAGCAUGGCGUCUCCAGCCCAGGUUUUAAAAUACCUUCUAAUGUAAGGAAAUAGCCCUGCACCUUGUGCCCAUCCUAGAGAGAAAAUGGUUUCUUAAUAAAAAAUGUAUGAGGCCUUUUUUGCCCCAAUAUCUUCCCAAGCAGAGGAAUGUGAAGGGGGGUUGGGCCAAGAAGUGAGUGGUAGGAAGAGAGGCCUACGGAUUUAAAACAGGCCACUGCUUGGAGGGGUGUCUUUCCUAAACCACUGAAGAAAUUGAACCAGGCAAAGGAAGGGGGUUCACACCCACAAAUAAACUAUAACCUACAAAAGGAGCCCGGGUUCACAUCCACAAAUAAAUUGUAACCUACACAAGGAGUCUGGUUGAGGUCACAAAACAAAAGCCAGGAGGCAACCAAAAGUAGAAUAUGAAAUAGGUGCUGCCUUCUCACCUAGGAAUCCUUCCAGGGCUAAAACCUUCAAAUAUUCUGCUUUUAAGGUAGUCAGAUACCCUCACAACUCAUUUACAUCAGCCCUUCUCUGUUUUCAAGUGAGAAGCAUAGAUGGUUUAGAAUUAAGCUAUGAACUCUUGGAUCUUUUCUUCCAAGUUUAGUGUUAGUGGUAGAUAGGUCUAGUCCAACUAUCUCAAUACAUUGUUUUCUCCCUAGUUAAAACAGAUUUGCAAGAAUCAUUUGUAUGACACUUUAGGAAUACAGAUAAAUUGCUAGUGCAAAUAAUAUCCUUAUAUUUAUAAAAUAUAUGUGUACUUUUAAAAAAGUUAUAUGAAUCCAAUCCUCUGGCCUUUUAGUUAGUAUUGAGUGUGAUAGUUGUGGGAGAUCUGUAGUAAAUACGGUUUCUGAAGGGUGUGCUAUCAUCCCUAAUGAACUCACCUAUUAAUUGUGGUAAAGAGUUUUUCACUUGGGCUGGGCACGGUGGCUCACGCCUGUAAUCCCAGCACUUUGGGAGGCCGAGGCAGGUGGGUCGACUGAGGUCAGGAGUUCCAGACCAGCCUAGCCAACAUGGUGAAACCCCGUCUGUACUAAAAAAAAAAAAAAGAAAAAAAAUAGCUGGGCAUGGUGGCAGGUGCCUGUAAUCCCAGCUACUUGGGAGGCUGAGGCAGGAGAAUCCCUUGAACCUGGGGAGGCGGAGGUUGCAGUGAGCCAAGAUCGUGCCAUUGCACUCCAGCCUGGGCAACAAGAGCAAAACUCCGUCUCAAAAAAAAAAAAAAAAAGAAAAAGAAAAAGAAAUGAAAAAAAAAGUUUCCCAACAUGUAUUAGCCGUUUUCAUGUUGUCUGUAUUCACCUUUGCGUCAUCACCCCUCUUCAAUUUCCUCCUGGAAUUCAAUCACAGUAAUGGGUUAUCUCAGCAUAUAUUAUUCGCCAGUCUCACAUCCUGACCUCAUUUAUUUACCUAAAAAUAACCAGAACGAAAAAAAAAUCACAGAUUAAUUUACACUUGAUUUCACUUUAACUUCAAUUUAAAAUACUUAGAAUCCAGAAUUCCUAGUAAGUUGAACCUGGAAUACGCAGACCUGUGAUAAUAUCUUAAACACUCAAAUGUUUUCAACUUGCUGAAAUGGAGUUCACACUUUUAACAUUCUGGGCUUUUUUUUUAAAAGGGACUAUAAUACUUUAAC
rnacentral:lncRNA from 10 species